CCUAGUAUUCGAGACUGCAUUGCUCAUUGUAUCCAGAGGAACAAGCUGCUCUCUCAGAGUGUCG
rnacentral:lncRNA from 1 species